rnacentral:misc_RNA from 1 species
GGCGGCAUGCUUUCUAAGUUGUCUGAAAAUAAUUUUGUCCAAAGCUCUUCAGCUUCAUCAAGCCUCCCAUCCUCUGCUAAAGCAUUGAGUAACGUGAAGUAUGUUCCCAUUGUCUGUCCUUGGCCUUUGCUCAGCAUCCACUUUAUUACCUGAAUUAUCCUCUUCCAUUCCUGUUCAUUCUCAAGAGUCUUCAAUGCUUUCUUAAC